rnacentral:rRNA from 1 species
UGAACGCUGGCGGCGUGCCUAAUACAUGCAAGUCGAGCGAACAGACGAGGAGCUUGCUCCUUUGACGUUAGCGGCGGACGGGUGAGUAACACGUAGGUAACCUACCUAUAAGACUGGGAUAACUUCGGGAAACCGGAGCUAAUACCGGAUAAUAUUUCGAACCGCAUGGUUCGAUAGUGAAAGAUGGCUUUGCUAUCACUUAUAGAUGGACCUGCGCCGUAUUAGCUAGUUGGUAAGGUAACGGCUUACCAAGGCAACGAUACGUAGCCGACCUGAGAGGGUGAUCGGCCACACUGGAACUGAGACACGGUCCAGACUCCUACGGGAGGCAGCAGUAGGGAAUCUUCCGCAAUGGGCGAAAGCCUGACGGAGCAACGCCGCGUGAGUGAUGAAGGUCUUCGGAUCGUAAAACUCUGUUAUUAGGGAAGAACAAACGUGUAAGUAACUGUGCACGUCUUGACGGUACCUAAUCAGAAAGCCACGGCUAACUACGUGCCAGCAGCCGCGGUAAUACGUAGGUGGCAAGCGUUAUCCGGAAUUAUUGGGCGUAAAGCGCGCGUAGGCGGUUUUUUAAGUCUGAUGUGAAAGCCCACGGCUCAACCGUGGAGGGUCAUUGGAAACUGGAAAACUUGAGUGCAGAAGAGGAAAGUGGAAUUCCAUGUGUAGCGGUGAAAUGCGCAGAGAUAUGGAGGAACACCAGUGGCGAAGGCGACUUUCUGGUCUGUAACUGACGCUGAUGUGCGAAAGCGUGGGGAUCAAACAGGAUUAGAUACCCUGGUAGUCCACGCCGUAAACGAUGAGUGCUAAGUGUUAGGGGGUUUCCGCCCCUUAGUGCUGCAGCUAACGCAUUAAGCACUCCGCCUGGGGAGUACGACCGCAAGGUUGAAACUCAAAGGAAUUGACGGGGACCCGCACAAGCGGUGGAGCAUGUGGUUUAAUU